rnacentral:lncRNA from 1 species
UCUGUGGGGUCGUGAAGUCAGUGGGAAUGGGGGGUGGGUCUCUAUGGGGUCGUGAAGUCAGUGGGAUUGGAGAUGGGGCUCUAUGGGGUCGUGAAGUCAGUGGGAUUGGAGAUGGGGCUUCAUGGGGUCGUGAAGUCAGUGGGAAUGGGGAAUGGGGCUUUAUGGGGUCGUGAAGUCAUUGGGAUUGGAGAUGGGGCUUUAUGGGGUCGUGAAGUCAGUGGGAAUGGGGUGUGGGGCUCUAUGGGUCGUGAAGUCAGUGGGAAUGGGGAGGGGGGCUUUAUGGGGUCGUGAAGUCAGUGGGAAUGGGAAGGGAUAAUCAAUGGGGUCAUGAAGUCAGUGGGAAUGGGGAGUGGGGCUCUAUGGGGUCAUGAAGUAAUUGGGAUUGGAGAUGGGGCUCUAUGGGGUUUUUGAAGUCAUUGGGAUUGGGGAUGGGACUUUAUGGGGUCGUGAAGCCAUUGGGAUUGGAGAUGGGGCUUUAUGGGGUCAUGAAGUCAGUGGGAAUGGGGUGUGGGGCUCUAUGGGGUCGUGAAGUCAGUGGGUUGGAGAUGGGGCUUUAUGGGGUCGUGAAGUCAGUGGGAAUGGGGAGUGGGGCUCUAUGGGGUCGUGAAGUCAGUGGGAAUGGGGAGUGGGGCUCUAUGGGGUCGUGAAGUCAGUGGGAAUGGGGUAUGGGGCUCUAUGGGGUUUUGAAGUCAGUGGGAAUGGGGUGUGGGGCUCUAUGGGGUCGUGAGGUCAUAGGGAAUGUGGAGAGGGGUUUUAUGGGGUCAUGAAGCCAUUGGGAUUGGAGAUGGGGCUCUAUGGGGUCAUGAAGUCAGUGGGAAUGGGGAAUGGGGCUCUAUGGGGUUUUGAAGUCAGUGGGAAUGGGGUGUGGGGCUCUAUGGGGUCGUGAAGUCAUUGGGAAUGGGGAUUGGGGUUCUAUGGGGUCCUGAAGUCUUUGGGAUUGGAGCCCAUCCCCAUCCCAUCCCCACCCCAUAUCCCACCCCAUAUCCCACCCCAUCCCCGCUCCCACUCCACUGCUGGCCCCACUGCCCUCCCAUCGGCCCCAUUGCUCUCCUGCUGGCCCUAUUACUCUCCUGUUGGCCCCAUUACUUUUCUGUUGGCCCUAUUACUUUUCUAUUGACCCCAUUGCUUUUCUGCUGACCCCAUUGCUCUCCUGCUGGCCCUAUUACUCUCCUGCUGGCCCUAUUACUUUCCUAUUGGCCCCAUUGCUCUCCUAUCGGCCCCAUUACUUUCCUAUCGGCCCCACUGCUCUCCUGUCGGCCCCACUGCUCUCCUGUUGGCCCCACUGCCCUCCUGCUGGCCCCAUUACUCUCCUAUUAGCCCUAUUGCUCUCCUGUUGGCCCCAUUACUUUCCUAUUGGCCCUAUUACUCUCCUGCUGGCCCUAUUACUCUCCUAUCAGCCCCAUUGUUGUUCUCCUGGCCCCAUUGCUCCCCUAUCAGCCCCAUUGCUCUCCUGUUUGCCCCAUUACCCUCCUGCUGGCCCUAUUACUCUCCUACUGGCCCCAUUGCUCUCCUGUCGGCCCUAUUACUCUCGUGCUGGCCCCAUUACUUUCCUGUCAGCCCCACUGCCCUCCUGCUGGCCCUAUUACUCUCCUAUUGGCCCCAUUGUUCUUCUCCUGGCCCCACUGUUCUCCUGUCGGCCCCAUUGCUCUCCUGCUGGCCCUAUUACUCUCCUAUCGGCCCCAUUGCACUCCUGCUGGCCCCAUUGCUCUCCUCCUGGCCCCAUUACUUUUCUAUCGGCCCCAUUGCUCUCCUGUCGGCCCCAUUACUCUCCUAUCGGCCCCAUUGCUCUCCUAUCGGCCCCAUUGCUCUCCUGUCGGCCCCAUUACUCUCCUAUCGGCCCCAUUGCUCUCCUGUUGACCCCAUUGCUCUCCUGCUGACCCUAUUACUUUCCUGUUGGCCCCAUUUCUCUCUCAUUGGCCCCAUUGCUCCCCUCUGGGUCCCACUGCUCUCCUCCUGGCCCCAUUACUUUUCUCUCGGCCCCAUUGCUCUCCUAUCGGUCCUAUUACUCUCCUAUCAGCCCCAUUGCUCUCCUAUCGGCCCUAUUAUUCUCAUAUCAGCCCCAUUACUUUCCUAUCGGCCCCAUUGCUCUCCUGCUGGCCCCAUUACUUUUCUGUUGGCCCUAUUACUUUUCUAUUGACCCCAUUGCUUUUCUGCUGACCCCACUGCUCUCCUAUCGGCCCUAUAACUCUCCUGUCAGCCUCAUUGCUCUCCUGUUGGCCCCAUUACUUUCCUAUCGGCCCCAUUGUUCUCCUGUUGGCCCUAAUACUUUUCUAUUGACCCCAUUGCUUUUCUGCUGGCCCCAUUACUUUCCUAUUGGCCCCAUUGUUCUCCUGUUGGCCCCAUUACUUUUCUGUUGGCCCUAUUACUUUUCUAUUGACCCCAUUGCUUUUCUGCUGACCCCACUGCUCUCCUAUCGGCCCCACUGCUCUCCUGUCGGCCCCAUUGCUCUCCUGCUGGCCCCAUUACUUUCCUGCUGGCCCCAUUGCUCUCCUGCUGGCCCUAUUGCUCUCCUGCUGGCCCUGUUACUCUCCUAUUGGCCCCAUUGCACUCCUGUCAGCCCUAUUACUCUCAUGCUGGCCCCAUUACUUUCCUAUUGGCCCCACUGCUCUCCUGCUGGCCCUAUUACUCUCCUGCUGGCCCCAUUUCUCUCCUCCUGGCCCCAUUGUUCCCCUAUCAGCCCCAUUGCUCUCCUGUUGGCCCCACUGCCCUCCUGCUGGCCCUAUUACUCUCCUAUUGGCCCCAUUGUUCUUCUCCUGGCCCCACUGUUCUCCUGUCGGCCCCAUUGCUCUCCUGCUGGCCCCAUUGCUCUCCUCCUGGCCCCAUUACUUUUCUAUCGGCCCCAUUGCUCUCCUCCUGGCCCUAUUACUCUCCUGCUGGCCCCAUUGCUCUCCUAUUGGCCCUAUUAGUCUCCUAUCGGCCCCAUUGCUCUCCUCCUGGCCCCAUUACUUUCCUAUUGGCCCCAUUGCUCUCCUGUCGGCCCCAUUGCUCUCCUGCUGGCCCUAUUACUCUCCUAUUGGCCCCAUUGCUCUCCUGUCGGCCCCAUUACUUUCCUAUCGGCCCCAUUACUUUCCUAUCGGCCCUAUUACUCUCCUGCUGGCCCCAUUGCUCUCCUGCUGGCCCUAUUACUUUUCUGUUGGCCCUAUUACUUUUAUAUUGACCCCACUGCUUUUCUACUGACCCCAUUGCUCUCCUGCUGGCCCUAUUGCUCUCCUAUCGUCCCCAUUGCUCUCCUGCUGGCCCCAUUACUCUCCUGUCAGCCCCAUUGCUGUCCUGCUGGCCCCAUUACUCUCCUGUCAGCCCCACUGCUCUCCUGUUGGCCCCAUUGCCCCCAUAUCAGCCCCACUGCUCUCCUCCCGGCCCCAUUGCCUUCCUUUUGGCCCCACUCCUCUCCUCUGGGCCCCACUGCUCUCCUUUUGGCCCCAUUGCUCUCCUGCGGUUGUGGGGUGGAGGAUAUGGGGUGGGGGUUGUGGGGUGGAGGUUAUGGGGUUGGAGACACCGUGGGGUCUUUCCCAGGGAGGGGGCGAAGCGCUGCUGCACGGAAGGUCGGCUCAGGGAAGGUGGCACAGUGUGACUUCCGCCUCUCCUUCCUCCUCAUCUUCCUCCUCCUCUUCCUCCUCACCUCCCUCCUCUCCUCACCUUCCUCAUCUCCCUCCUCAUCUUCAUCCUCUCCUUCCUC